rnacentral:rRNA from 1 species
CAGUAGCCGCGGGAAUACGUAGGUGGCAAGCGUUGUCCGGAAUUAUUGGGCGUAAAGGGCUCGCAGGCGGUUUCUUAAGUCUGAUGUGAAAGCCCCCGGCUCAACCGGGGAGGGUCAUUGGAAACUGGGAAACUUGAGUGCAGAAGAGGAGAGUGGAAUUCCACGUGUAGCGGUGAAAUGCGUAGAGAUGUGGAGGAACACCAGUGGCGAAGGCGACUCUCUGGUCGGUAACUGACGCUGAGGAGCGAAAGCGUGCGGAGCGAACAGGAUUAGAUACCCCAGUAGUCCCUGUCUCUUAUAC